rnacentral:rRNA from 1 species
GAUGAACGCUGGCUACAGGCUUAACACAUGCAAGUCGAGGGGAAACGACGGGGAAGCUUGCUUCCCCGGGCGUCGACCGGCGCACGGGUGAGUAACGCGUAUCCAACCUGCCUCUGACUGAGGGAUAACCCGUCGAAAGUCGGCCUAAUACCUCAUGGCAUCGUCUGCGGGCAUCCAACGACGAUUAAAGAUUUCAUCGGUCAGGGAUGGGGAUGCGUCUGAUUAGCUUGUUGGCGGGGUAACGGCCCACCAAGGCUACGAUCAGUAGGGGUUCUGAGAGGAAGGUCCCCCACAUUGGAACUGAGACACGGUCCAAACUACUACGGGAGGCAGCAGUGAGGAAUAGUGGUCAAUGGGCGGGAGCCUGAACCAGCCAAGUAGCGUGCAGGAGGACGGCCCUAUGGGUUGUAAACUGCUUUUAUGCGGGGAUAAAGUGAGGGACGUGUCCUUCAUUGCAGGUACCGCAUGAAUAAGGACCGGCUAAUUCCGUG